UGGAGGUGUUAAAUCUACAAGCAAGACGUACCUUAUACAUCGAACUGAACUAGUGAUGGGAACUUCAAAAGUAAUUGAUGACUCUUCUGCAUCUGUUUCUCUGGCCCAGCUUACAAAGACUGCCAAUCUUGCUGAAGCCAAUGCUUCUGAAGAAGCUAAAAUUAAAGCCAUGAUGUCGCAAACUGGCCGUGCAUACGACCCCAUCAAUUACAUGAAGAAGCCUCUAGGUCCACUAUCUUCAUCUUAUACCUGUUUCCGCUGUGGUCAACCUGGCCACUUUAUUAAGAAUUGCCCAACAAAUGGGCAUAAAAACUUCGAAUCUGGUCCUAGGAUUAAAAAGAGCACUGGAAUUCCCAGAAGUUUCAUGAUGGAAGUGAAAGAUCCUAACAUGAAAGGUGCAAUGCUCACCAACACUGGAACAUACGCAAUACCAACUAUUGAUGCAGAAGCAUAUGCAAUUGGGAAGAAAGAAAAGCCACCUUUCUUACCAGAGGAGCCCUCUCCAUCUUCUGAAGAGGACGACCCUAUCCCAGAUGAGUUGCUGUGUCUCAUCUGCAAAGACAUCAUGACUGAUGCCGCUGUCAUUCCCUGCUGUGGAAACAGCUACUGUGAUGAGUGUGUAAGAACAGCACUCUUGGAAUCAGAGGACCAUACAUGCCCAACAUGUCAUAAAAAUGAUGUCUCUCCUGAUGCUUUAAUUGCCAAUAUAUUCUUGCGACAGGCUGUUAAUAACUUCAAAAAUGAAACUGGAUAUACAAAAAGACUACGGAAACAGUUGCCCCCAACACCACCCCCAAUACCGCCUCCGAGACCACUCAUUCAGCGGAAUCUACAACCUCUGACGAGAUCUCCAAUAUCAAGACAACAAGAUCCUCCGAUGAUUCCAGUGACAUCUUCAUCAGGCCACCCGGCUCCCUCUAUAUCUUCAUUAACUUCUAAUCAGUCUUCCUUAGCCCCUGCUGUGCCUGAAAAUUCAUCUACCCCAGAGCCUGUACCUGAUGUAACUGUAAAGGUCUCCGUAUCAGUCCACUCAGAAAAAUCAGAUGGGCCUUUCCAGGAUUCCGAUCAUAAAAUAUUGCCAGCUGCAGCCCUUGCCUCAGAACAUUCAAAGGGAACCUCUUCAAUAGCAAUGACUACCCUUAUGGAGGAGAAAGAUUACCAGGUGCCUGUGCUUGGAACCCCAUCUUUGCUUGGACAGUCAUUAUUGCAUGGAGAGUUGAUCCCUACAACUGGUCCAAUAAGAAUAAAGGCUGCUCAUCCACGUGGUGGUCGACCAGCUCGGGAGCUUUCCAACAAGCUUGGAUAUCUGGUUUCUCCGCCACAGCAAAUUAGGAGGGGAGAGAGGAGUGGCUACAGAAGUAUAAACCGUGGACGACACCACAGCGAAAGAUCACAGAGAACUCCAGGCCCAUCACUACCAGCAACUCCAGUUUUUGUGCCUGUUCCACCCCCUCCUCUGUACCCACCUCCUCCACAUACACUGCCUCUCCCUCCAGGUGUUCCUCCACCACAGUUUUUUCCUCAGUUUCCUCCUGGCCUGCCAACACCUGCUGGGUAUAGCGUCCCUCCCCCCGAGUUCCCUCCAGCGCCAGCCAAUUUAUCAACACCUUGGGUAUCAUCAGGAGUGCAGACUGCUCAUCCAAAUACCAUCCCAACAACACAAGCACCACCACUGUCCAGGGAAGAAUUCUAUAGAGUGCAGCGAUGGCUAAAAGAAGAGUCUAAAUCUCCCUAUAGUGGUUCCUCAUACUCCAGAAGUUCUUAUACUUACUCUAAAUCAAGAUCUGGUUCAACGCGGUCACGUUCUUAUUCUCGAUCAUUUAGCCGCUCACACUCUCGUUCCUAUUCGCGAUCACCUCCAUACCCCAGAAGAGGCAGAGGCAAGAGUCGAAAUUACCGCUCAAGGUCUAGAUCUCAUGGAUAUCAUCGAUCUAGGUCAAGGUCACCUCUAUAUAGACGAUAUCAUUCACGAUCAAGGUCCCCUCAAGCAUUUAGGGGACAGUCUCCAAAUAAACGUACUGUACCACAAGGGGAAGCAGAACGUGAAUAUUUUAAUAGAUACAGAGAAGUUCCACCACCAUAUGACAUAAAAGCUUAUUAUGGGAGGAGUGUUGACUUUAGAGACCCAUUUGAAAAAGAACGUUACCGAGAAUGGGAGAGAAAAUACAGAGAGUGGUAUGAAAAAUACUACAAAGGUUACGCUGCUGGAGCACAGCCUCGACCAUCAGCAAAUAGAGAGAACUUUUCUCCAGAGAGGUUUUUACCACUUCAUAUAAGGAAUUCUCCCUUUACAAGGGGCCGCAGAGAACAUUAUUCGGGUGGACAAAGUCAUAGAAGUCGAAACAUAAGUGGUAGCAACUAUCCAGGAAAGCUUUCAACAAGAGACAGUCACAAUCAGAAGGAUAGUACAAAGUCAAAAGAGAAGGAGAGCGACAGUGCUGCAGGAGAUGGUAAAGGAAGUAAACAUAAGAAACAUCGAAGGCGGAGAAAGGGGGAAGAGAGUGACGGCUUUCUAAACCCAGAGUUGUUAGAACCUUCUAGAAAAUCAAGAGAACCCACAAGUGGCGAGGAAAAUACAACAGACUCAUUAUUUGUUCUUCCGAGUAGAGAUGAACCAAUGGAUGCAGAAUCCAUCCCUUUAAAAUCAGUGUCUGAAAAAUACAGGAGAGAAAAAGAUAAGCCAAAAGUAAAAGGAGACAAGACCAAACGAAAAAAUGAUGGAUCUUCUGUGUCCAAAAAAGAAAACGUCAAACCUGCUAAGGGAUCCCAAGAAAAACUAGAGGGAGAGGGUGAAAAAUCUCCAUCUGAACCUCCACUUAAAAAAGCCCAAGAGGAGACUCCAAAGACUGACAGUACCAAAUCAUCAUGUUCCUCUCAAAAAGAUGAAAAGGCCAUUGGCACCCCCAGAAAAGCUCACUCUAAGUCAGCAAAAGAACACCGAGAGACAAAACCUAUCAGAGAGAAAAAAGUGAAGAAAGACUAUUCCAAAGACGUCAAAUCAGAAAAACGAACUAGUAAGGAAGACAAGGCCAAGAAGCCUACUGAGAACAGUAAGCCUCUUGACAGCAAAGGAGAAAAAAGAAAAAGAAAAACUGAAGAGAAAGAUGUAGAGAAAGACUUGGAAUCAUCUUCAAUGAAAGUCUCUAAACUCGAAGUAACUGAAAUAGUGAAGCCAUCGCCAAAACGCAAAAUUGAACCUGAUAUUGAAAAGAUGGAUAGGACCCCUGAAAAGGACAAAACUUCAUCAUCAACAGCCCCAGCCAAAAAAAUUAAGCUCAACAGAGAAACUGGUAAAAAAAUUGGAAGUACAGAAAAUAUAUCUAAUACAAAAGAAACCUCUGAAAAAUUGGAGUCAACAUCUAGCAAAGUUAAACAAGAAAAAGUCAAAGGAAAGGUCAGACAAAAAGUAACUGGAACUGAAGCAUCCAGCUCUACUCUUGUGGACUAUACCAGUAGGAGUUCAACUGGAGGCAGUCCUGUGAGAAAAUCUGAAGAAAAAACAGAUACAAAGCGAACUGUCAUCAAAACUAUGGAAGAAUAUAAUAAUGAUAAUACAGCUCCUGCUGAAGAUGUCAUUAUUAUGAUUCAGGUCCCUCAGUCCAAAUGGGAUAAAGAUGACUUUGAAUCUGAGGAAGAAGAUGUUAAAGCCACACAGCCUGUAUCAAGUGUAGGAAAACCUGCCAGUGUUAUAAAAAAUGUUAGCACUAAACCAGCAAAUACAGUCAAGUAUCCUGAAAAAGGAAGCGAGCCUGCAGAGAAACUUCCAAAACUCACCAAGGAAGUGAGCCAUGAAAUCAUACAACAUGAGGUCAAUGGUUCAAAAAACUGUACAUCUAGUGAAAAGGGGAAAACCAGAGAGAGAGAGAUCGAUCAUUCAGUGUUGGAGAAGGAAAAUCCUGGAAAGAGGAAGAGCAGCACUCAGCCAGAGAAAGAUAGGAAUUUGGACCGUCUCAAUGAACAAGGUAAUUUUAAAAGUUUGUCUCAAUCUUCCAGAGAGACUAGAACCUCAGAUAAGCAUGAUUCCACUAGAGGUUCCUCAAAUAGAGACUUUACUCCCAGUAGAGACCAAAAAACGGACUAUGGCAGCAGAGAAUAUUCAAGUUCCAAACGUAGAGAUGAACGGAAUGAACUAACAAGAAGAAAAGACUCUCCUUCUCAGAGCAAAGAUUCUGCAUCUGGACAGAAAACGAAGCCAAGGGAGGAGAGAGAUUUGCCUGAAAAAGGAACAGGAGAUUCUGAGAAAAGUAAUUCUAGUCCCUCAAGAGACAAAAAACCUCAUGAUCAUAAAGCCACUUCUGAUACUAAACGCUUAAGUGAAGAGACAAAAUCUGUAGAUAAAAAUCCUUGUAAGGAUCGUGAGAAGCAUAUGUUAGAAACAAGGAACAGUAAAGAGUCAAGUGGCAAUAAAUUACUUUAUAUACUUAAUCCACCAGACCCACAGACUGAAAAAGGGCAGGUUGCUGGGAAAAUUGAUAAGAGUGCUACCAAGCCUAAACCCCAGUUAAGUCACUCCUCUCGACUUUGCUCCGACUUAACUAGAGAAACUGAUGAAGCUGCUUUUGAACCAGAUUAUAAUGAAAGUGACAGUGAAAGCAAUGCAUCAGUAAUAAAAGAGGAAGAUACUUCCGGGAAAAUUUCUAAGGAAUUGAAAGAUAAAGUCAUAGAGAAAGUAAAAGAGAGCCCGGACACAGCAGCAGUCAGCCAGAUAGGUGUCACCAGGAGCCAGAGUCAGAGCAGUCCCAGUGUUAGUCCAAGUAGAAGUCACAGCCCUUCUGGAAGCCAAACUCGAAGCCACAGUCGCAGUGCCAGCUCCGCAGAAAGUCAGGACAGCAAGAAGAAGAAGAAGGAAAAGAAAAAGCACAAGAAACAUAAAAAACAUAAGAAGCAUAAGAAACAUGCAGGCCCUGAAGCAGAAUUGGAAAAAAGCCAGAAACACAAACACAAGAAAAAGAAAUCAAAGAAGAGCAAAGAUAAAGAUAAGGAAAAGGAGAAGGAGAAGGAGAAGGAGAAAGAUGACCAAAAAGUGAAA